AAUGGGCGCAAGCCUGAUCCAGCCAUGCCGCGUGAGUGAUGAAGGCCCUAGGGUCGUAAAGCUCUUUCGCCUGUGAAGAUAAUGACGGUAGCAGGUAAAGAAACCCCGGCUAACUCCGUGCCAGCAGCCGCGGUAAUACGGAGGGGGUUAGCGUUGUUCGGAAUUACUGGGCGUAAAGCGCGCGUAGGCGGAUUAGUCAGUCAGAGGUGAAAUCCCAGGGCUCAACCCUGGAACUGCCUUUGAUACUGCUAGUCUUGAGUUCGAGAGAGGUAAGUGGAAUUCCGAGUGUAGAGGUGAAAUUCGUAGACAUUCGGGGGAACACCAGUGGCGAAGGCGGCUUACUGGCUCGAUACUGACGCUGAGGUGCGAAAGUGUGGGGAGCAAACAGGAUU
rnacentral:rRNA from 1 species